GAUAUUGGAGAAAAUCUUCACACAACCUAAAAAAAAGCAAAGUAGUGCAUCAGUCCUAUUCUUUGAAUAUUUCUGCUACAUUACUAAUCUACACAUUGUCUUUAAGAUACACAAUAAAUAAUCUUGUCGCAUCCAAUGCUGCGCCUUUAAACACGGUUAUACAAUCAUCAGUACCAUCCAGGUCCUUUAAACAUUGUAACAGUGCAUUCUAAUCUUAGCCUGGUGCCUCCUACAAAUUAGACUAAAUUAAUAAUUGAUUUCUUCCUGUGGGCGGUGAUAAUCUGGCCUUGUCUGGACACAUGCAGUCUAUUACGUAAUCUAGUUUUAUGCCCCGGUUUAACCUUCUAAAACAAUCGAGAAAAACAAGACUCCUUACAGGGUUUAGGUCAAAAGUCACCAACGUCUGCCAAGGAGACAAGACAAGGUCACCAUCACAAAACACUGUCCUCAUCCCUCGUCCACCCCUCUCUACCCGUCAUAUUGAUCAGAGCAGACCUUGGCAUACCUCAUCUUCUCCUUAAUGAUAUAUCUCUGCAUUAGAGGGGAGAUCCCCAUGGGCCCUGUCCGUCCAGGACAAGUUAAUUACAUUGUUUAGUGAUGGACAUCUGUUGUGAGAGACGAGCCUGAGGUCAAACACACAUCUACCCUGGGGUGUCACCACGCCAAGCCAGAGGGAACAACGUUCCCAGUGGGAUCCUCAGGUCGCUGUCACAGUGUGGCUCCUGUCCACUCCUGCUGUCCAAAUUAAGAUCCACGGGGACCCGAGCUGCUCCUGUCAGGUCAUGUGGUUCACUAUGAGUCCGCUUGUAUCCCUGAAUGUAUCACAUGUAACACCCUUGCCUUUAUGCACUAAUAGGCACACUUAUCUUUUCUUACUAGCACUGAGUUUGUUGAUGGCUGCUUUAAUAGAGGAAAAGUUGUACUUACUGAUGCCCGUGAUAUGUGGUUGUCUCACCUAGCUAUCUUAAUAUGAAUGCACUAACUGUCAGUUGCUUUGGAAAAGAGCGUCUGCUAAAUCACUAAAAUGUAAGAUGUAAAUGUAGUUAUGAAGUCUGCAUGUUGAACUAAUUGUGUGGACUAGCUAAUCUCUUCUGCACUGGAGCCAGG
rnacentral:lncRNA from 13 species